rnacentral:rRNA from 1 species
AUUGAACGCUGGCGGCAGGCCUAACACAUGCAAGUCGAACGAGUGGCGGACGGGUGAGUAAUGUCUGGGAAACUGCCCGAUGGAGGGGGAUAACUACUGGAAACGGUAGCUAAUACCGCAUACCAUCGGAUGUGCCCAGAUGGGAUUAGCUAGUAGGUGGGGUAACGGCUCACCUAGGCGACGAUCCCUAGCUGGUCUGAGAGGAUGACAAGCAAAACUGGAACUGAGAAACGGUCCAGACGCCGACGGUAGGUAGCGGUGGGGAAUAUUGCACAAUGGGCGCAAGCCGGAUGCAGCCAUGCCGCGUGUAUGAAGAAGGCCUGAGGGUGGUAAAGGACUUGCAGCGAGGAGGCGUUACUCGCAGAAGAAGCACCGGCUAACUCCGUGCCAGCAGCCGCGGUAAUUC